rnacentral:lncRNA from 1 species
AACCCCGCCCCUCCCUGCUGCUCUUGUCUGUUGCUGCUUUUGGUACCUAAUCUUGGCUCUUUGGACUGCAGGCGUUACACGAUGAAAAAGGUAUUCGAGGCUCCAGUGUCCCUGCUCAGGUCAGGACCAUCGACUAAUGGAGUCCUUAACCAUCUGCCCCAUCCACAACAGCUCAGAAAAGUACUUGAGCUUAGAAGGAGCACUUAAAAGAAGUUGUCAAAAGAAAGAAAUACAACACCAAUUUAAUAAAUUGGAGAGGAGGCUGCAGAAAAGAAGCCCUCGUGAACAAGGCCCCACAGGAGUACCGUGUGACAGAACUCGAACCCCACACUUCUCAGUACUGGUACUCGUAUGGAUUAUUCUAAUGUUCAGUCUCAUGUUGGCGAAGAGCUUAUAAACCGUUAUGUAAGCAUGUCCUCAUAUGACUUUGGUCGAUAAAGAUGGCUCCUUGUUGCCUGAUGUUUCCCACAGUCUUUUUAAAAACCUGUUUCCUG